rnacentral:misc_RNA from 1 species
AAAGAGCUUAGACUAAAACUUUCUUAAUUAUUAUGCCAAUGGCAAAAAUCUUCCAUCACUGUCCGCUGAUGAUCCCACCCAUGUUCCCAUUCUCCAAAACUCUCUUCUUCCUUCUCUUCUACACUCUCUCCAUUAUGCCCCCUCACCUAUGCCAACACCCACUAGACCCACUAACCCCAGAAGAGAUCACGCUGGUUCAAACCAUUGUCCAUAGUUCUUACCCCAACUCAACACACAUCCUCACCUUUCAGUACGUUGGCCUCGAAGAACCACCCAAACCCACUGUCCUUUCAUGGAUAAGAAACCCUUCCAGGAAAAACCUACAUCGCCAAUCCUUCGUAAUCGCCCGUAUUGACCAAACCACUCACGAAAUCAUCGUAGACUUGUCACUCCGUCGGAUCAUUUCUGAUCAAGUCUACAAUGGUUAUGGCUACCCUUUGUUCACUUUCGAAGAGCAAAUCGCAGCCAACCAAUUGCCGUUUCAGUACGCACCGUUUUUGGAGUCGAUUAACAAGAGAGGGCUCAAGAUUGAAGAGGUCGUUUGUGGGAGUUUUUCCGUCGGGUGGUUUGGGGAGAAAAAAAGGUCCAAGAGGAUCGUGAAGGUGAUGUGUUACUAUUUAGAUGGGACUAUUAAUUUGUACAUGAGGCCAAUUGAGGCUAUUUCACUGACCGUUGACCUUGAAGACAUGAAGAUCAUAGGCUUUAAAGAUAGAUUAACGGUUCCAGUCCCAAAAGCGGAUGGAACUGAUUUCAGAGGAUCCAUGCAAACGCCGCCGUUUGGACCGCUGUUGAAGGGGAUUACGGUGGCGCAACCUCAUGGGCCAAGUUUCAGUAUUGACGGACACAAGAUUAGGUAAGAGUGAGGGACCACUGGCUUAACCUUUAUUUAUGGGGCUUUAUCUAACUUGCUAUAAACAAUUUUAGAAUUUCCAGUGUUCUUGUGACCAAAAAACAGGUGGGCCAAUUGGGAUUUUCAUCUAAGUUUCGAUGCUCGAGCAGGUCCAGUUAUAUCUCUGGCAUCAAUAUUUGAUGUUGAGAAGCAAAAGUUUCGUCAAGUUUUAUAUAAAGGGUUUGUAUCAGAGCUGUUCGUUCCAUAUAUGGACCUAACUGAAGAAUGGUAUUAUAGGACUUUUUUUGAUGCGGGUGAAUAUGGGUAUGGUCUGUCUGCAGUGCCACUUGAGCCACUUAGGGACUGCCCAGAAAAUGCAUAUUUCAUGGACGCUUAUUUUGCUAGCCAAAAUGGAAUGCCUGUGCAGAUGCCUAACAUCUUUUGCAUCUUUGAGAGGUUUUCUGGGGAUAUCAUGUGGCGUCACACUGAGACUCUGAUCCCAGGCAAUGUGGUUCGGGAGGUUAGGCCAGAAGUGAGCCUGGUGGUGAGGAUGGUUUCAACUGUGGGCAACUAUGACUACAUAAAUGAUUGGGAAUUUAAGCAGAGUGGCUCCAUCAAAGUCACGGUUGGACUGACUGGUGUGCUAGAAGUAAGAGGAUCAAUAUACACCCACAAAGACCAAAUAGAGGAGGAAGUGUUUGGUACAUUAUUAGCAGAAAAUACCAUGGGUGCACAUCAUGAUCACUUCCUUACUUACUACCUUGAUGUUGAUGUGGAUGGAGAUGCAAACUCCUUUGUCAAAUCCAGGAUGCAAAUGACACCAGUGACUGAUGACAAAUUGCCUAGGAAGAGUUAUUGGAGGGUUGUUAGUGAAACUGCUAAAACAGAGUCUGAUGCAAGGAUUAAGCUUGGCUUGGAGCAAGCUGAUCUAUUGGUAGUUAAUCCAAACAAGAGGACCCAUAUUGGGAAUUUCAUUGGUUACCGUUUGAUCCCUGGAUCAACUACAAGUCCCCUCUUAUCACAUAAUGAUUACCCUCAGAUUAGGGGAGCCUUCACUAACUAUAAUGUGUGGGUUACACCGUAUAACAAGUCUGAAAAAUGGGCAGGGGGACUGUAUGCAGAUCAGAGCAGAGGGGAUAAUACCCUAGCUACAUGGGGCCUCAGGAAUAGGAUAAUAGAAAAUAGGGACAUUGUGCUUUGGUACACGGUGGGUUUUCAUCAUGUACCAUGCCAAGAAGAUUUUCCAGUAAUGCCAACAUUAAGCAGUGGAUUUGAGCUCCGGCCAACUAAUUUUUUUGAGAGAAAUCCGGUGCUCAAAUUCAGACCACCUCAAUCUGUUCAGUGGCCAAACUGCUCUGCAUAUAGAUGAUGGUUUUAAAAUAGUGGGAUUUUGCUUGAAGUGCACUCAACAUAUCUUUUGUCUUUUCUUCCUUCCUUUCUUACUCUUUCCCUACAUUUCUAAUAGGAGUCCAUAUGUUGGAAGUGUUGAUCAUUCUUGGACUUUUGAAAUCUUGAGAGAUGUUUGAACACAUGAAAUUUUUGUUUGAAACUCAAAGUCAUCUAUACGCUUCAAUUUUCAAUUUGAUGAGCAAGAUGCUUGAUUAUACUCCAAUAUCUUGUUUUAUUGUCAGCUGGGCGACUAAUG